UACGUAGGGGGCUAGCGUUGUCCGGAAUCAUUGGGCGUAAAGCGCGCGUAGGCGGCCCGGUAAGUCCGCUGUAAAAGUCCAGGGCUCAACCCUGGAACGCCGGUGGAUACUGUCGGGCUAGAGUCCGGAAGAGGCGAGUGGAAUUCCCGGUGUAGCGGUGAAAUGCGUAGAGAUCGGGAGGAACACCAGUGGCGAAGGCGGCCCCCUGGGCCGGGCCUGACGCUGAGACGCGAAAGCGCGGGGAGCGAACGGG
rnacentral:rRNA from 1 species